AGCAGCAGCCGCGGUAACACGAAGGGUGCAAGCGUUAAUCGGAAUUACUGGGCGUAAAGCGUGCGUAGGUGGUGGUUUAAGUCCGUUGUGAAAGCCCUGGGCUCAACCUGGGAAUUGCAGUGGAUACUGGGUCACUAGAGUGUGGUAGAGGAUAGUGGAAUUUCCGGUGUAGCAGUGAAAUGCGUAGAGAUCGGAAGGAACAUCUGUGGCGAAGGCGACUAUCUGGGCCAACACUGACACUGAGGCACGAAAGCGUGGGGAGCAAACAGGAUUAGAUACCCCCGUAGUCCCUGUCUCUUAUAC
rnacentral:rRNA from 1 species